GAUGAACGCUAGCGGCAGGCUUAAUACAUGCAAGUCGAGGGGGCAGCAAUGUCACCGGCGAACGGGUGCGUAACGCGUAUGCAACCUACCUACAUCAGGGGGAUAGCCCUAGGAAACUGGGAUUAACACCGCAUAACAUAUGACGAGGCAUCUUGUUCUAUUGAAAUAUUUAUAGGAUGUAGAUGGGCAUGCGUAGGAUUAGCUAGUUGGUAAGGUAACGGCUUACCAAGGCUACGAUCCUUAGGGGCUCUGAGAGGAGUAUCCCCCACACUGGCACUGAGAUACGGGCCAGACUCCUACGGGAGGCAGCAGUAGGGACUAUUGGCAAUGGAGGCAACUCUGACCCAGCCAUGCCGCGUGCAGGAAGACGGUCCUCUGGAUUGUAAACUGCUUUUGAAUGGGAAGAAUGUGCGGUUUGCGAACUGUAAUGACGGUACCAUUAGAAUAAGCCACGGCUAACUACGUGCCAGCCGCCGCCGUAA
rnacentral:rRNA from 1 species